rnacentral:rRNA from 1 species
GACGAACGCUGGCGGCGUGCUUAACACAUGCAAGUCGAACGGAAAGGCCCGGCGUUUGUUGGUUGCUCGAUUGGCGAACGGGUGAGUAACACGUGAGUAAACUGCCCUUGACUUUGGGAUAACUUCAGGAAACUGGGGCUCAUACCGGAUAGGAGCUCCUGCUGCAUGGUGGGGGUUGGAAAGUUCCGGCGGUUCGGGCUGGACUCGCGGCUUAUCCGCUUGUUUGUGUGGUAGUGGCUUACCAAGCCUUUGACGGGUAGCCGGCCUGAGAGGGUGACCGGCCACAUUGGGACUGAGAUACGCACCAGAAUCCUACGGGACGCAGCAGUGGAGAAUAUUGCAGAAUGGGCGGAAGCCUGAUGCAGAAACGCCGCGUGCGGGAUGACGGCCUUCGGGUUGUAAACCGCUGUCGCAUGUGACGAGGAGUGAGUGACGGUAAUGGGUAAAGAAGCACCGGCUAACUACGUG